rnacentral:rRNA from 1 species
CCCUAGUGGCGGACGGGUGAGUAACGCGUGGGUAACCCGCCAUAUACAGGGGGAUAACACUUAGAAAUAGGUGCUAAUACCGCAUAAGCGCACAGGGGCGCAUGCCCCGGUGUGAAAAACUCCGGUGGUAUAUGAUGGACCCGCGUCUGAUUAGCCAGUUGGCAGGGUAACGGCCUACCAAAGCGACGAUCAGUAGCCGGCCUGAGAGGGCGGACGGCCACAUUGGGACUGAGACACGGCCCAAACUCCUACGGGAGGCAGCAG